rnacentral:rRNA from 1 species
UACGUAGGGUGCAAGCGUUGUCCGGAAUUAUUGGGCGUAAAGAGCUCGUAGGCGGUCUGUCGCGUCGGCUGUGAAAACUCGGGGCUCAACUCCGAGCUUGCAGUCGAUACGGGCAGGCUAGAGUGCGGCAGGGGAGACUGGAAUUCCUGGUGUAGCGGUGAAAUGCGCAGAUAUCAGGAGGAACACCGAUGGCGAAGGCAGGUCUCUGGGCCGAUACUGACGCUGAGACGCGAAAGCGUGGGGAGCAAACAGG